rnacentral:rRNA from 1 species
GACGAACGCUGGCGGCGUGCCUAAUACAUGCAAGUCGAACGAGUGGCGGACGGGUGAGUAACACGUGGGAACCUACCCAUAAGAGGGGGAAAACACUUGGAAACAGGUGCUAAUACCGCAUACUGAUGGAUGAACCCGCGGUGCAUUAGCUAGUUGGUGAGGUAACGGCUCACAAAGGCGACGAUCUCUAGCUGGUCUGAGAGGAUGAUCAGCCACACUGUGACUGAGACACGGCCCAGACUCCUACGGGAGGCAGCAGUGGGGAAUAUUGCACAAUGGGCGCAAGCCUGAUGCAGCCAUGCCGCGUGUAUGAAGAAGGCCUUAGGGUUGUAAAGUACUUUCAGCGGGGAGGCGUUACCCGCAGAAGAAGCACCGGCUAACUCCGUGCCAGUAGCCGCGGUAAUAC